GGUCUGGAACGAAGCAGCCGUCGCUGGGGGUGCCGGA
rnacentral:SRP_RNA from 1 species